rnacentral:ncRNA from 4 species
CACACCGCCCGUCGCUACUACCG